GUGAGCUACCCGACGACCCCCUUACCGUUUUCCUUCUCUCUCUCUCUGAAAAAGCUGAGGUUCUAGAAAAUCAAGGUUGUGUAAAGCUAGUACUGAUGUAAGAAGCUUUUAUGGCAGCACUGAGGAUUAAAUGUUGCGAGUGCACUUGUGACUCGGAAAAGUUAUUUUUGCUGAAUAGUCUGAUAAUGGUGAUAACCUAGUGAUAAGCCAAAGAGUUUUUGCAUCAUUGUUUAGUUGGUUAUAAUAUAAAUUCUGGCAUGUCAGGUAACCAUGCUAAAUAGCUGUUUGGCACGGACAUGAGGGUGUAGGGCACAAGGAAUGUGCGUGCCGGUCAACGAUUUCUGCAGUUCCCUUUAAUGGUGCCAUUGUAGCCUAACAUUUUAAUACAGUCAAACCCACAUAUAUCGAACUUAUCUAUGAUGAAUUACUGUGUAUGUGGAAGGGUUGUAAAAUUCCCUUCAAUAUAUUUUCGAUAUAUAAAACUUUUUAUAUAUCGAAAUACCUAGUAUACAGAACUUUUUUGAGAUCCCCUUCGGAUUCGAUAUAUCUGAGUUCGACUGUAACUCACAUAAGUUUCAAGACUUUUAACUAACGCUAUUCUUAGUAGGACACUAAUGAAUGCUGCUAAGAGGGCCUUAGGAGGUUCUGUAUAUUAUUAUUAUUAACACUGCUAACAGGGCCUUAGGAUUAUUAAGUAAUAUAAAAUGUUGAGUGAAAUUUGUUUUCUUAGGAGACCUAUAUGUAGUUAUUUGUGUAUGAACUCGUUAUUAUGUUUAAAUCAGCAUAUUCCUUAGGUAGAAAGAUACUUGACCAUCAUUAAUCUGUAAUGCAGCAGUCACCUACUUGUAUUGUCACUUUCCAUCAUUUCUUGCACUGCACAAUAACACACUUUUGCCUCUGUGAAGGGACACUGAAGAGUGAUCCAAGCUGGUAAGUUAUUCCGUUGGGCUUGUCCGAACAUUUAUUCGGCAGAGCCAACUCGUUUCAGAUGUUAUAGCUUACUUUUGCAUAGCAAAAUAAACAGCUAACUGAGCAGGAAAGUUAAGCAUGCAUUAUCUUGCCUCAGCAAUGUACUUAUUUCACAUUGACACAUUCUGUUAGAGGGGCCCUGCAACACUUUUUCAGCAUGGUCAGAAAACACUGCCAAUCGGUAGUUUGAGGCUCCCGAGAACACGCGAGCCAAACAUCGUAGCGCAGCACGUGGCCUGGGAUUUACAAUAAAUUCGCAAAGUCAGCUAAAAAACACUUCCUCUUCUCUCGACAAAAAAUUAUGCUUACGGCAUCACGGGCAGAUUCCAUGCCAUUGGCUGAUUUGAACGUGGCGCGCUCGGUAGUUACUGCGACCGCCGCGAGAGGCCGCCACUCGCCUGCACGCAAUCGCACUGAAAGUACGCCACACAUUUGAAGAAGAAAAAAAGAAAAUGUGCUCAAGGUCAGGAGGCGUGUGUGACGUACCUUCUCCCCCUGUGCCACCCCCCCUCCCCUGCUUAGCUUCCAGCGCUUUCGUCGGGGCGAGAGAAGAGAGAAAGCAAUUACAGUGUGCGACAAAUCUUUGUAACUCCGCUCGUACUGGGAAGAUUCUCAAAAUUUUUGAGGCAUUCGAUUCGUGACGCAAUAAGUUCCUUUAGUGAAGCCAUUCCAUGGUUACUUGGAAAAGUGUUGCAGGGCCCCUUUAA
rnacentral:lncRNA from 1 species